UGAUGUCUGCUGCUGAUGCUCAGG
rnacentral:misc_RNA from 1 species